rnacentral:tRNA from 1 species
UACAGGUAUAGCUCAGUGGCAGACUGUUUACCUGGCAUGCACAAAAUCCUGGGUUCAAUCCCCAGAGUAA